UACGGAGGGUGCGAGCGUUGUCCGGAAUCACUGGGCGUAAAGGGCGCGUAGGUGGCCGAGCAAGGUCGCGGUGAAAGCCCGGGGCUCAACCCCGGGUCGGCCGUGGCAACUACUUGGCUAGAGCACUGUAGGGGCGGGUGGAAUUCCGGGUGUAGCGGUGGAAUGCGUAGAGAUCCGGAAGAACACCGGUGGCGAAGGCGGCUACCUGGCCCAAUACUGACACUCAGGUGCGACAGCGUGGGGAGCAAACGGG
rnacentral:rRNA from 1 species